GCGGGCGUGGCGGAAUUGGCAGACGCGCUAGACUUAGGAUCUAGUAUCUUUCGAUGUGUAGGUUCAAGUCCUAUCGCCCGUA
rnacentral:tRNA from 1 species